AUUGAACGCUGGCGGCAGGCCUAACACAUGCAAGUCGAGCGGAUGAAGGGAGCUUGCUCCUGGCUUCAGCGGCGGACGGGUGAGUAAUGCAUAGGAAUCUGCCUGGUAGUGGGGGAUAACGUCCGGAAACGGGCGCUAAUACCGCAUACGUCCUGAGGGAGAAAGUGGGGGAUCUUCGGACCUCACGCUAUCAGAUGAGCCUAGGUCGGAUUAGCUAGUUGGUGGGGUAAAGGCCUACCAAGGCGACGAUCCGUAACUGGUCUGAGAGGAUGAUCAGUCACACUGGAACUGAGACACGGUCCAGACUCCUACGGGAGGCAGCAGUGGGGAAUAUUGGACAAUGGGCGAAAGCCUGAUCCAGCCAUGCCGCGUGUGUGAAGAAGGUCUUCGGAUUGUAAAGCACUGUAAGUUGGGAGGAAGGGCAGUAAGUUAAUACCUUGCUGUUUUGACGUUACCAACAGAAUAAGCACCGGCUAACUUCGUG
rnacentral:rRNA from 1 species